rfam:Schistosoma mattheei strain Denwood, Zambia genome assembly, scaffold: SMTD_scaffold0023006
AUCCAGCUGAUGAGUCCAAAAUAGAACGAAACACGCGUCUUGGAU